rnacentral:rRNA from 1 species
UACGGAGGGAGCUAGCGUUGUUCGGAAUUACUGGGCGUAAAGCGCGCGUAGGCGGCUUUGUAAGUUAGAGGUGAAAGCCUGGAGCUCAACUUCAGAAUUGCCUUUAAGACUGCAUCGCUUGAAUCCGGGAGAGGUGAGUGGAAUUCCGAGUGUAGAGGUGAAAUUCGUAGAUAUUCGGAAGAACACCAGUGGCGAAGGCGGCUCACUGGACCGGCAUUGACGCUGGGGUGCGAAAGCGUGGGGAGCAAACAGG